GGGCCGGCGGGAGUCUUG
rnacentral:rRNA from 1 species